rnacentral:rRNA from 1 species
CCUACGGGAGGCUGCAGUGGGGAAUAUUGGACAAUGGGCGAAAGCCUGAUCCAGCCAUGCCGCGUGUGUGAAGAAGGCCUUCGGGUUGUAAAGCACUUUCAGUGGGGAAGAAAGCCUUGGGGCUAAUACCCUCGAGGAAGGACAUCACCCACAGAAGAAGCACCGGCUAACUCCGUGCCAGCAGCCGCGGUAAUACGGAGGGUGCGAGCGUUAAUCGGAAUUACUGGGCGUAAAGCGCGCGUAGGCGGUCUGAUAAGCCGGUUGUGAAAGCCCCGGGCUCAACCUGGGAACGGCAUCCGGAACUGUCAGGCUAGAGUGCAGGAGAGGAAGGUAGAAUUCCCGGUGUAGCGGGGAAAUGCGUAGAGAUCGGGAGGAAUACCAGUGGCGAGGGCGGCCUUCUGGACUGACACUGACGCUGAGGUGCGAAAGCGUGGGUAGCAAACAGGAUUAGAUACCCGGGUAGU